rnacentral:misc_RNA from 1 species
CCCGGCGCCCCAGAGAUGGUGCGCGUUUGGGGCUUUGCGUGGUAUUCUAUAUGUCAAAACGACUCUCGGCAACGGAUAUCUCGGCUCUCGCAUCGAUGAAGAACGUAGCGAAAUGCGAUACUUGGUGUGAAUUGCAGAAUCCCGUGAACCAUCGAGUCUUUGAACGCAAGUUGCGCCCAAAGCCAUUAGGCCGAGGGCACGUCUGCCUGGGCGUCACACAACGUUGCCCCCCCAACCCCAAUCCUCAACUUUUGAGGAGGACGGCGGGGGGCGGAUGCUGGCCUCCCGUGCGCCACGGUUCGCGGUUGGCCCAAAUACGAGUACUCGGCGACGAGCGCCGCGGCAAUCGGUGGUUGUCCAACCCUCGGUGCCAUGCUGCGCGCGCGAGUCGCUCUUCGUUACUCGACGACCCCAAUGCGUCGUUCACACGACGAUCACAACGCGACCCCAG